GAAUGUUCUUGUUUAGACAUCAGAGACAAAUUACUUCUACUACUGGUCUACUCACCUGCAAAUUAGUGUUGACUAUUAAAUAAUUAGCAUUGGAUUUACAAUCAUCAUAUUCUGCAUAAGCCAUGAAGAUACUUUUCUUUCUUUGUUUAAUUAGAUGGUUAGAAGACACACCAACUCAACCAAUUGGUAAGGCAUCAUUUAGGUAUUCUUUGAAGCAGAAACAACCAUCACUAAUUAGUUGCAUUAAAUAUGGCAGGC
rnacentral:lncRNA from 1 species